GGUGGCUCAGUGGUAGAGUGCUUGUCUUGCAUACAUGAAGCCCUGGGUUCGAUUCCUCAGCACCA
rnacentral:tRNA from 1 species